rnacentral:snoRNA from 9 species
UGGCGAUGAUGACAAACAUAAAGGCCGGACUUACGGCUGCCACUGCUAAUAUAAUUUAGCUGGGUUUUGGUAGUAGAUUGAUGAACCCACUUUUAUAAGGUUACUCUGAGCCAG